rnacentral:rRNA from 1 species
AGAGCGAACGCUGGCGGCAGGCUUAACACAUGCAAGUCGAGCGGGCGUAGCAAUACGUCAGCGGCAGACGGGUGAGUAACGCGUGGGAACAUACCUUUUGGUUCGGAACAACACAGGGAAACUUGUGCUAAUACCGGAUAAGCCCUUACGGGGAAAGAUUUAUCGCCGAAAGAUUGGCCCGCGUCUGAUUAGCUAGUUGGUGAGGUAACGGCUCACCAAGGCGACGAUCAGUAGCUGGUCUGAGAGGAUGAUCAGCCACAUUGGGACUGAGACACGGCCCAAACUCCUACGGGAGGCAGCAGUGGGAAUAUUGGACAAUUGGCGCAAGCCUGAUCCAGCCAUGCCGCGUGAGUGAUGAAGGCCCUAGGGUUGUAAAGCUCUUUUGUGCGGGAAGAUAAUGACGGUACCGCAAGAAUAAGCCCCGGCUAACUUCGUGCCAGCAGCCGC